UUAGACUCGUAGCAGAUAGCUCAGUAACACGUGGCCAAACUACCCUAUGGAUCCGAAUAACCUCGGGAAACUGAGGCUAAUAUGGAAUACUGUUCAUCGCCUGGAGUGGCACGAACGCGAAACGUUACGGCGCCAUAGGAUGUGGCUGCGGCCGAUUAGGUAGACGGUGGGGUAACGGCCCACCGUGCCCAUAAUCGGUACGGGUUGUGAGAGCAAGAGCCCGGAGACGGUAUCUGAGACAAGAUACCGGGCCCUACGGGCCGCAGCAGGCGCGAAACCUUUACACUGCACGCGAGUGCGAUAAGGGGACUCCGAGUGCGAGGGCAUAUAGUCCUCGCUUUUCACGACCGUAAGGUGGUCGUAGAAUAAGUGCUGGGCAAGACCGGUGCCAGCCGCCGCGGUAAUACCGGCAGCACGAGUGAUGACCGCUAUUAUUGGGCCUAAAGCGUCCGUAGCUGGGCACGCAAGUCUAUCGGGAAAUCCGCGCGCUUAACGCGCGAGCGUCCGGUGGAAACUGCGUGGCUUGGGACCGGAAGACCAGAGGGGUACGUCCGGGGUAGGAGUGAAAUCCCGUAAUCCUGGACGGACCACCGGUGGCGAAAGCGCCUCUGGAAGACGGAUCCGACGGUGAGGGACGAAAGCUCGGGUCACGAACCGGAUUAAUACCCGGGUAGUCCGAGCUGUAAACGAUGUCUGCUAGGUGUGGCACAGGCUACGAGCCUGUGCUGAGCCGUAGGGAAGCCGUGAAGCAGACCGCCUGGGAAGUACGUCCGCAAGGAUGAAACUUAAAGGAAUUGGCGGGGGAGCACUACAACCGGAGGAGCCUGCGGUUUAAUUGGACUCAACGCCGGACAUCUCACCAGCAUCGACAAUGUGCAGUGAACGUCAGGUUGAUGACCUUACUGGAGCCAUUGAGAGGAGGUGCAUGGCCGCCGUCAGCUCGUACCGUGAGGCGUCCUGUUAAGUCAGGCAACGAGCGAGACCCGCACUCCUAAUUGCCAGCAACACCCUUGCGGUGGUUGGGUACAUUAGGAGGACUGCCAGUGCCAAACUGGAGGAAGGAACGGGCAACGGUAGGUCAGUAUGCCCGGAAUGUGCUGGGCGACACGCGGGCUACAAUGGCCGAGACAGUGGGAUGCAACCCCGAAAGGGGACGCUAAUCUCCGAAACUCGGUCGUAGUUCGGAUUGAGGGCUGAAACUCGCCCUCAUGAAGCUGGAUUCGGUAGUAA
rnacentral:rRNA from 1 species